UAAAGUUUAUCUAAAACCUAAACUAAUUUAAAAUAAAAUAAAAUAAAUAAAUAAAAAAUAAAUAAAUAAAAGACAUCUUAAAGCUAAUAAAUGAGGGGCUAUCACUAGAACAAGAAAGGACACGUUACUAAAUGGAUUGGAUUUAUGAAAAGUAAUAAUGCUCAUUGAAAACCAUGAAUCAUAACCUCACCUUCCAACCGGCAGCAACUUUGCUUACUGCUUCUCUCCAAGUCAAAUGCAAAUAAAGAAAGGGAAAUGCAUAGCUUGGCUUUUUCAAUGUCGUGGCAUCACUUGAAUCAUAUAUGCAAUUUGAAAAUGAAAACCGUGCAACAAUCAAUUUAAUUGAACCGUGCAACUAUUUGAAAUUAAAUCAACGUGCCACCUCAAAAGUUAAAGUAACAAAAGUAGCAUUUAAACGACACCAACUAAAUGCAAGGAAAAGGAAUUGAAUUAACAUGUUCUUUCAAGAAGAAUAAAAGCAGCGUGUUCUCAUUGUGAAGACCAAAUGAUUGCAGCAUAAAUGAGCUUCCGUGAUGAUGAUGAGCAUUGAAGGGCACAAUUAAUUACUCAGCACAAAUCAAAUAAAAGUGAGUAGGCAUUCAACGUUAAAUGUAAUACCCAUCAUGUAAUAUAAAAAUAGUUUUUAGUUAAAGCGUAAAGACAACCUAAAAGAGCAAAAGUUUGGACCCUUUUUCAUGGAUGAAACCUCUGUAUGAAUGUCCAGCGUAUGCUUCUCCCAACUCUCCAUUCUCAUUCAUCCAUAAUCCCAUAGAAUAAACAUGGUUCCCAUUUGCUUAAAAAAAAAAAAAAUUCUCUCCUCCAAAACGCUGCACCCACACUCUCGGGACCUCCAAAUUGCCGAGAAUACAAAUAACGUUCCAACAGCAGUCCUCCUUGAGAGAAUGACGGCUGGUAGCUUUUGUGAUCCCUAGGACCAUGUGUCCUCCAAUUGGGGUGGGGUCCACCUUAAAAAAAAAUAAAACCCUAGGGUGCCAAGUGUCCUACAAUUUUGGGCCCUUAUAUUUUUGCCAACAAUGGCCCAUUGUAUAAAAGUUUGUCUAACAAGUUUAAACAAUUAAAUUACAAGAUAACUAAAAUUUAAAAUGUCUAAUAUGAGUGUCUUGACUUUAUUUUGUCUCCUUUCCAAUGCCCCA
rnacentral:lncRNA from 1 species